rnacentral:rRNA from 1 species
GAUGAACGCUGGCGGCGUGCCUAAUACAUGCCAGUCGAGCGAACAGAUAAGGAGCUUGCUCCUUUGACGUUAGCGGCGGACGGGUGAGUAACACGUGGAUAACCUACCUAUAAGACUGGGAUAACUUCGGGAAACCGGAGCUAAUACCGGAUAACAUAUUGAACCGCAAGGUUCAAUAGUGAAAGGCGGCUUUGCUGUCACUUAUAGAUGGAUCCGCGCCGUAUUAGCUAGUUGGUAAGGUAACGGCUUACCAAGGCAACGAUACGUAGCCGGCCUGAGAGGGUGAUCGGCCACACUGGAACUGAGACACGGUCCAGACUCCUACGGGAGGCAGCAGUAGGGAAUCUUCCGCAAUGGGCGAAAGCCUGACGGAGCAACGCCGCGUGAGUGAUGAAGGUCUUCGGAUCGUAAAACUCUGUUAUCAGGGAAGAACAAAUGUGUAAGUAACUGUGCACAUCUUGACGGUACCUGAUCAGAAAGCCACGGCUAACUACGUG